rnacentral:rRNA from 1 species
UGGGGAAUAUUGCACAAUGGAGGGAACUCUGAUGCAGCGACGCCGCGUGAACGAAGAAGGCUUUCGAGUCGUAAAGUUCUUUUAUAUGGGAAGAUAAUGACGGUACCAUAAGAAAAAGCCCCGGCUAACUACGUGCCAGCAGCCGCGGUAAUACGUAGGGGGCUAGCGUUGUCCGGAAUCACUGGGCGUAAAGGGUUCGCAGGCGGAAAUGCAAGUCAGGUGUAAAAGGCAGUAGCUUAACUACUGUAAGCAUUUGAAACUGCAUAUCUUGAGAAGAGUAGAGGUAAGUGGAAUUUUUAGUGUAGCGGUGAAAUGCGUAGAUAUUAAAAAGAAGACCGGUGGCGAAGGCGACUUACUGGGCUCAUUCUGACGCUGAGGAACGAAAGCGUGGGUAGCAAACAGGA